UUGGCUUAGAGGCUUGACCAUCAGUGUCAUGACUCAAAAAGCCGAGAGUUCGAUUCCUCUUGAGUUGUAUUAUGCAGCAAAAAGUGUGGAACGAACUGGUAUGGAAAUACAAAUUACUGUUCGGUGCCGGCAGAUAAUCUGCAUAGGAUUGUCUGGCCAAAUCCUAAGAUAGUUUGAAUAUCUCCUUAUUUACAUCCUAUCCUGUUUCACCGUUUACCCCAAUUUUCAAUUUCAAUAAUUACUCCCUUUCCUCUACAGUACCUAUCCUAGUAAACCUGACAUGCCAGCCCUAACUAUACCUUUGCUUGUAGUUGUUGAUGUCAGUAUCUAUCCCUGUCUUGGUAUUGGAAACGAUGUGGCUCACAUAUCAUAUACCGCAGACGUAAAAGAUUGAACAGAACAGAACAGAACCUUGUGUACAAUUAAUUUCCUUAAAGACGUGUCGUGGGAACGCUGCGUGACGAUGGCGCAUGUCUAACUAUUACGCAAUACAUACUCAUCCCGUCUAUCUGUUACAACUGUUCACGUCCAUGUGUUUUUAAAAGGGGACGUUCACAUAUUACGUCGUCAAGAAGCAUCGAAAAGAAUAAAGUGGUCAUAAUAAGGCACCCGAUAUCAUGAUGAUCGGAUACAAUGCCAAAAGAAAAAACCUUGACUUGUAGAAUCUAUGUCCUAAUUCGAGUACGGCCCAUUGGACCAGACUUUUUAACCUUCGAUGCUUAGCUUAAAUACAUACUCACUCACUCAUCCUCUUCAACUCCAAAUUCACUAAAAUUCGUCCCGUGAUUUACAAAAUACAGCAAAGUGUCCAUGGUGACGUAGUGAUCAGGGAUUUGGUCCUUCAUUUAGAUGAAGGACCAUGCCGAUUUAUUUCUGAUCAUGUACCUCAAAAGUUUAUUAAUAUAGGAAACAAAAUUAAAAAAAAUAUUCAAUUGGCCGAUUCUGCUGUAUCGUAUUCAUCUAUACAAAUUUCAACACCCUAAAAAAUGAAACCUUCAUCUUUACCCUACAAUACUUAAUGAUUGUUCCAGCAUCUUCAGAAUGCGGUUACCACACAAUUUGAAGACUACAUAGGAAGGAAUGAUCAUCAUUAUUUUUUGGGGAUCGUACUAUUGCCCAGCAUCGCUUGAUUUCAGCAUCAAUGGUAGUAAAAUCAUAUCUUGUUUAACUUUAUAAUAUGUUGUAGGUAUUAAGAUAUGUACUUUAAAAAUUGAUGUAAAUAUGUGAGAAAGCAUUUUCAAAUCUGAUUAUGAGGGAAGAAGUUUUUAUUUCUUAAAAUUAUCCUAAUUGUUAAUUAUUAUCGAAUUUUCAACCCUUUUUACACAUUAUAUGUAUGUAAUGUAAGUCCAAAUUCAUCAUUUAAUGCAUUGAUCGUAAGUUUUGGAUUUAUUUGCCUAUCUUUGCGACGUAAUUUGCAUAUUAUAGAUUCUCAUCCCCAAUAUUGUAUUUAUAGCAAAAAAUCAACUUUAAAAACCGUAGCUUAAUUCCAGAUUAACACAAGCGUAAUGUGUUUCUAAUAUGCAGCAGAGAGCUGCUUCUGGUUGUAAUUUUAUUUUUUUAUUUUAUACUUAUUAGCAUCAUGAGCUAACUGGAUAUCGCCUUGGUAGCGUAUGCAUGUAUCUAGAGAUUAUGGUUUUGAAUUAAUCUUUUCAAGCAAAAUUAAUAUCACAGCGUCAGAAUAUUGUAGGCAACGAAAGGCUGUGUGUCGGUUAAAAAGCGUUGUCUGCUUUUUCAAGAGCAUAUUUUGCUGCAAAAAUCGCUUUUGCGAAUGUGAUACAUUUAAGUAUUUUGCAAUGUCCUGUUGUGUUCUUGCAAACUUUUUUAAUUCUUUAUACACCGUUUCCUUUUGAGCGGUCGCUCAUUCCACAAUUUUGGAACGUGCAAAUUUAUGCAAUUCUCCUACCAAGUGUUGGAUUAUAUUGUGCAGAUGGCUGUCGUUGAUUGGUAUUCGUACUACCUGAUUCGAAGUUAGCCGCUCCCAAAUAACGCAAUGUCUCCGUCAUGUCGUUGUUAUCUAUGUCAGCUUCAUGAAGCCCGUUGUAACGAGUACUUCUGAUGAAUAUUGUUUUUAAAAUACAACAGGAACUAUUUCCUGGGUAGAGUUUAAAACCUGAAGCAUAUGUACGUAUCUAUUAAAAUUUUAUCCGAAAAAUUUUAGGGCUCCGUAACUCCUAUGUCCAACAUAUAUUCUAAACUAUGUCCGUGGGUUGCCGCUAAUGGUAGAAAUGUUUUAAAUGGGGCAGAGUUCCAGGACGUUCCGGAAAAUAAUAUUCCAACCAUGCGUCCAUUGUAGGGACAACCACACUAUCGACAGAACCUUUAUACACAGCUAUCCUGGUUGUGACAUUGUUAACCUGUAAGACAUUAAGCCCAUUAUAGUGGAAAUGGGAAUGUUAUAGAGACCAGAUAUAAGGGGGUGGGGAAAGUUAAGUAAACACUCACCACCAAAGAUAAUCUGUCACUAUUACAAUACUCUAGUAUCCCAUAAUUAUAGAGUACCAAACAUUCAUUGCCAACUGCUGAGCUGUAGUUUGUGGCCGUCGAUACUGCAAACUGGUAGUGUAACGUACCCGUGGAAGGACAGGAAUUGAUUGUACUAGGAGUAGGUGGCAAUGAAAGACAACUUUGUAACUGGAAACCCUUAUUAGAUGUAUUAGAUGCAUUAGAUUACCUGUAUUAGAUGAAUUUCUACUAUAGUAGAGUCAUAUUAUUUCAAUUGUUAAAAAAAAAUUAUUCACAUUAUAAGUAUCGAGCUUAUUGGAGAAUAUUGGUACAUGAUAAUUAGGUACUUCUUUCCUGUUGUGCGUAACACUUUAGACUUUUUAAACCAGUUAAUAAUCAUCUGUGUUGCCUGCUUCAACCUUGUAUACCCACACACAGUCUUUCAUCGUUUCAUGAUAUCCUUUUUAGUAACUAAUAUUUAAAUAGUCAUUAGUAGAAUUACUUCCGCUAAAUUGUCAUCUCCAUACACAUCUGGUAGUCUUGUCAACAUGCAUCAAUGGGUAAAUAUUGCAAAUGCUUGUAGAAAUUAUAAUAAUGAUAUCUAAUAAGAACUGAUAAAUAAUAUCCAUAAUGGGUUUGGCGAUACCCAUGAAAUUCGCAGGCCCAUGCAUCGCGGCCCCUUGCUAACUUAACUCCAUGCUAUUUCUUUCUUCCUUAGUAGAAGCAAUUUGUUGCCUUGCACACUAAUAUAGUUGUGCAGUCAGAUAGUUUGCCCAUACCCUAUUAGAAUAAAUGAAAUUGGACGCAAUGUUCUUAUCGUGGUAAAUGGGUGAUCUGAUAACGAUCUAGUAGAAAGCUUCUAAAUCUCUUCAAAGUAUAUUGGAAGAUAUAACAUAUAAAGGGUACGAUCUUCGUCAUCGCGAUUCUUAGCAGCAUGUCAUGAUUCAUCGUGACGUCACUUUUGUCAACUCAAUAUGUGUCCAAAUGUUAUACCACAACUCGACCCCAAACAGAGCUACGUCUACUAUAAGUCCUACAACAGGCAAAGAAAAGCUUGCAAUGGUUGCAAUAAUGUCCAAUGAGCUAAGAGAUAUUUCUACUAUAGCAUCUCGGAGAACGUGGUUUGGUAAUUGAUGUAGCCUAUUUUCCAACCAAAUGGAAAAAUAGAAUUAGGCGUGUGACCUUAAUCGUCACUGAAUGUGUUCUACGCUGGGGGAGUAUAGGAUGGGGAAUAGCUACCAAACGCCGUUUAUCCUUCGUACAAAGGCGCAUUGACAAACGCAUCUAAUUCAUAAAUAUUUAUUAUCAUAUUGAAUGUUUAUAACAUGAGACUUCUGAAUAUUGAAUGUUGAUAAGAUGUAUCAGACCGGUGUAGUUAUUGGAUAUAAAGUCCAAAGCCGUUCCGAGGUUAUGGGUGACGAUGAUUGAUGAAUGUGGUAACUCAUUGUAGGCCACCAUAGCCUUAAUUGGGAUUUGCGAUAACUUCGAUGGUAAGAAGUUAUUUUUUAAGAAAGCCUGUCAACAAUAUAUAUACUUAAGAAAUCAAUUAUGCAUAAAAAUAACCCCGAGAACAGUUGUACAUUCAUUAAUUUGUUGCAAAUAAUGUAGUGGAAUUCCCUAAGGAAAAAAGGAAAAGAAAAUCCCUGAUAAAAUAGUAGUUGAUAAAAUGAAAUGUGUAACGAAUUUUAACGGGAUACAGACGUUUCAUCCCUACGUCCUUUUGUGGGAGUUAUAAAAGUUAUAAAAGAGGCUGUUAGAGCAACCUCAUAUACUGGCCAGGUGGGACCAUACCUUCCUUCUAUGCCACUAGGUCAAUUAAACCUGGAAGUCCCAGUUUUUCUUUCUAGCAUAACCAUAGAUUGGGAUCCCUUGAAUGUCGGUCCCUUGAAUGUCGGUCCCUUGAAUAUACUGUUGCUCCUGGGGAUACUGAAGGCACUAUAAUGUCCAUUUAUAAUAUCCUAGAUGAUAGAUCAUGAUGUGAUAUUCUAAGCUUCUAUUCGAUUUUCAGGUUUUGGUCGUUUUUGCAUGAAAUUUUAAUUUUAAACUAUCUCCAUCCCCAAUACGGUAUUUCUGGGGAAAAUCCGCAUUAUUACAUAAGUUUUCUUUAAUGUAGGGUUUCUCCAGAAUAACACCUUUUAGUAAUAAGACAGCUUACCCUUAUUAAGGUUGGAGGAAAUUGUUGAGUUCAGAACCAAAUUAGUUAUGGGAACUAAAAGUCAAAGGAAUUGGUGUCGAGAGUUUUCGUAGUGAAAGUGACUCAGGUUGCAAUUUAGAAAAUUGUAACCAGAGUCAUAUGUACACAUGUAUUAUAGCUGCAGCGCAAAUAUGUAAUACAUAUUAACAUAUAAAUCGUUUCAAUAUAUAUUUGAUUAGCAUGUUAAAUAUCAAUAAGAAAUUUAAAUGUAUUUAGUUCGUGAAUUUAUAGACUUAAAUACGAUUAAAAUUUACCCAAAGUUAAUAAAAAUUUGACAUAGUGUAAAACGUUUCCCACGUACAUAGAAUGUAGUCCAAACCUGGAGUAAAUCUUAUCUAAAUGUAUGCAUCGUUAAAAUUCAGCAUCUUCUUGUAGUAUCUUAAAGUUUGUUUUGCAAAUAUUUAAUAUUUAGAAUGCAUAUGUACUAAUAAAUAUAUGUGUACAGUUAUUUUGUUAACCUAAUCAUAAUAAACUUCAAAUGUAUACUGAA